rnacentral:rRNA from 1 species
CGCGGCCAUCGGUGUAGAUCUUAGUGGUAGUAAAAAAUAUUCAAUUGAGAACUUUGAAGGCCGAAGAUGGGAAAGGUUCCAUGUAAAUGACACUUGCACAUGGGUUAGUCAUUCCUAAGGUUCGGGGGAACCCCGAUAUAUAACAAAUUUCACGCAUACUCCAAAAGGGAAUCGGGUUAAAAUUCCUGAACUGGGACGUGAUGGUUGAUGGCAAUGUUAGGAAGUCUGAAGAUGUCGGCAGGAGCCUCGGAAAGUAUUAUUUUUUUGUUUAACAGCCUGCCCACCCUGGAAUCGGCUCAGCCAGAGGUAGGGUCCAACGGCUGGAAGAGCACUGUACGUCGCGUGGUGUUCGGUACACUCCCAGUGGCCCUUAAAAAUCCAAAGGACCGAAUGUCAUCCAUGACCGAUCAUACUCAUAACUGCAUCAGGUCUCCAAGGUGAACAAUCUAUGGUUGAUGGAACAAUGUAGGCAAGGUAAGUCGGCAAAAAGGAUCCAUAAGUUUGGGAAAAGGAUUGGCUCAGAGGGCUAGGCACGAGGGUCCUAAUUCCAAACCCGUCGGCUGUUGGUGGACUGCUUGAGCCGCCAACUCAGAACUAGUACAGACAAGGGGAAUCUGACUGUUUAAUUAAAACAAAGCAUUGCAUGGUCCUAACGGAUGUUCACGCAAUACGAUUUCUGCUAGUGGUUUGAAUGUUAAUGUGAAGAAAUUCAACCAAGUGCGGGUAAAUGGCGGGAGUAACUAUGACUCUCUUAAGGUAGCCAAAUGCAUCGUCAUCAAAUUAGUGAUGCACAUGAAUAGACUAACGAGAUUUCUACUGUCCUUUUCUACUAACCAGCGAAACCACAACUAAGGGAACAGGCUUGGCAAAUCAGUAGUGAAAGAAGACCCUGUUGAGGUUGACUCUAUUCCGACUUUGUGAAAUAGCUUGAGAGGUGUAGUAUAAGUUGGAGCUGAAAGGCGAAAGUGAAAAACCACUACUUUUAACGUUAUUGCACUUAUUACGUGAAUCAGAAGCGGGGAACUACCUCACUUUUUGGACCGAAGGCUCGCUCUACAGGCCGACCCAGGUGGAAGAUAUUAUUAGGUGGGGAGUUUGGUUGGGGUGGCACAUCUAUUAAAAUAUAAAUAAUGUGCCCUAAAAUAGCUCAACAGAAUAGAAAUAUCAUGCGGAACCGAAGGGUAAAAUCUCAUUUGAUUCUGAUUUCUAGUACGAAUAUGUAUCAUGAAGCGUGUCCAAAUGAUCCUUUAGACCUUCGAAAUUCGAAGCUAGAGGUGUCAGAAAAUUUAGCACAGGGAUAACUGGUUUGUGGCAGCCAAGAAUUCAUAGCGACAUUGCUUUUUAAUUCUUCGAUGUCGGCUCUUCCUAUCAUUGUGAAGCAGAAUUCACCAAGUGUUGGAUAGUUCAUCCACCAAUAGGAAACAUGAGCUGGGUUUAGACUAUCAUGAGACAGGUUAGUUUUACCCUACUGAUGAUAGUGUCAUAAUAGUAAUUCAAUGUAGUAUGAGAGGAACCAUUGAUUCACAUAUUGGUCAUCACGCAUGGUUGAAAAUCCAAUGGUGCGAAGCUACCUUCUGCUGGAUUAUGACUAAAUGACUCUAAGUCAGAAUCUAGCUAUAAGUGAUGUAUGCGCCCUCCGUCCUCUUGCCAACCCGCAGUAGGGGCCUUGGCCUUUAAUGGACCGUCUUGUUGGCUAAGCCAUUAUGGCGAAAGAAUCACGGUGGCCACCUUAAAGUACAAUUUCCAUCAAG